AAGACAGCAAUGCUGCAUUUCUUUGUUCUUUGUGGCCCCUCAUUGCCUUGUUAAUCUGGACGCACACCAGCCUUCAGGAACUGGUGGGGAGCUCAUUGGUCUUGAUGAAGAUGGACAGAGAACAUCUUCUUGAUGAAAGAGAAGAGUGAUUGAACAUGAGUGGAGAGGAAGGACUCAUUACAUACAAGUACCAGAUGCAAAUAUCAUCAAGCUCUAAUCAGCAUGGGAGAGCACUGCUUGGGAAAUGUGUGCUCUAGCUCAGGGCACAGUACGGAACCUGGAAACUCUUCUCAUCCUUCAUACACUCUGAUCCAAAUAAACCUUGCUUACUUAAAAGAA